GUUUUCUUCUCUUCUGAAAAACCAAGCAAUGACUUACAGGCGGUAUCUUUAAUCUGUUUCAGAUCAACAGCAGUACCACAAAGCUGAGCUCCAGUGACUAGAAUGGCUGUGUGAGGAACGUAACUUGAAGAGUUACCCGUGCCAGUCUCCCACGUUUCUUUGAGACUCUUUGAUUCCGUGGCUUGACAGAAAGUUUGUGCCUGGCUGCAGAGUUGUCGAGGCGGCUCAGUGACUGUGGGACUGCAUCAAGGUUAAUUGAUUCAAUGGUUCCGCCAGAGCUCGCAGAAGGUAGAGUGCUGGUGGGCCUUGACGAUCGAGGUGUUGGAACCUAUAAAAUAGAAGGUCUCGGCCCAAAACGUCGACAAUUUUCCUGUCGAAUAACCAAGCAAGAAGCCAAAAAACUCAGAUCCAUUGUUAUAAUCAGGUUCAUACCUUUGAGUCUUUUAUCUAUUAUGUUUUUUCCUCUGAAAUGAAUUGGCAUUUAUGUUCAGUGGCAAUAAACCUCUCCACAAUUGAUGCUUUUCUCCCUAAUCACCUGUUGUACCCUUGACUGUAACCCACACCUAGUGAAAGAGAAUUGAACAGCAACCUACACUGAGAAGGUCUCUUGUAUCUCAGACAGCUUGAAAUUAAAAUUCCAUCUGCACAUAAAUUAUGUAGCAUGCUUAUUAAUAGCAGAAAAGAUAAACAGUUCCGCUGAUGGAUUGGUUUACAGAACAGACGUUUCCCCUUUGAUGCAAAAGGUAUUGAAGAUACCCAAAAUACUCUCACUGUUACUGGAUCUGAUUAACUGCUUUCCAUAGUUUCAUGCUGUGGGGUUCUAACCCUCCCCAAAGCUGCUGAGGUUUCUGUUCAUGACCUAAGAAAACUGGGAACAUAUUACAUCAGAUAUACAGAGGUAAAAUAUUGCAGAUGCUGGGCUUCCUUAAGCACAGUAAAUGAAAAGUAAAAUACCAGAACACUGGGAGAAGAAGCUCUGAGAAUUUAAAUAGUUGAAACAGAGGACUGGUGUGUUUAAAUGCAACAGAAACAGAGGCCAUAGGAAUUUAAGCACAACAAAAAUUGAGGCCCAUAGUGUUUAAUGAGUGGAGUGGAGCCCCAGAAGAUUAUAAAUAAUGGGAAAAGAGAUCCUGCAGGUUUAAACAACAGAGGCUCUGAGAGCAAAAACCUACUGAGACAUAGGUCAUUAAGAUUUAAACACAAUGCUUAUAGAGAUCCUAAGCAUUUAAAAACAUUGUAAUCUGGGUUAGAUGUUGUAAUAAUAGACUUCAAAAGGCCUUUUUAAACUCUUACCUUUCUAGUAUUAUUUAUAUUAAAAAUUUAAGAUAUUGUACGUCGAACAGAACAGCUCAAAAUAGUCUCUGCACUGAGUACAAUAUCAAAGUUUAAAAGCUUAAUGUAAAUUUGUUAUCAAAGUACAUACUGUCUAUGUCACCAUAUACAACCCUCAGGUUCAUUUUGUUGCAGGCUUAUUCAAUAAAACUGUAGAACAAAACCACAUAACAGAAUAAAUGAAAGACCACACGAGCGUGGGCAUUUGACCAGUGUGCAAAAGACAACAAACUGUGCAAAUACAAAAAGAAAGAAAUAAUAAAUAAAUAAUCAAUAAAUAUCAAGAACAUGACGGGAGCGUCAGGCCGCAGGAGGAGCCGGAUUGGGCUUGGAGGAGCUGACCUGGAUGCAGGCCAUGCUGCUGCCUGCUACUAAAGGCACUGAAGUUGCAGCGCAAAGGCGGUGUGCAGAGAAACUGCGAGCGACUGUCUUGGAUGUUUAUUUUGCGUUGACAAGACCCUGUUGGACAUUGAUUGCUUCAAGCCUGGUGAGACGGGAGGCGUGGCAGCAGUGUCACCUCUUUUAUAGUGAGGACUAUGCCUCAAGCUGUGGGCUUGACAGUUGCUGCAGACUAGGUGAAGAAAGACACUGGAGGUGGUGUAGCGUGGCGUCCGUGCUUGGUUGGGGGGUGGACUCUCCUGUGUGAUCUGCCCUCCAGUGUUGGAUCGCUGGAGCUACAGGCUGGACUGCUGGGAACCAUCAAUUUGUAGGACUUGCUGCUCAGGGUUUUGGAUGAAAGAUGUGUUUUCCUGAGUGAGUAUAUUCUUUUUAUUUCUCUCUCAUUACUUUUGAAUGAGCAUGUAUGUUUUUACACCUUGGCUCCAGAGGAAUGAUGCCUCUUCUGGCUGUAUCCAUGUAUGAUUUGAAUGAAAAUUAAAUGAUCUGACUUUGAAGAGUCCUUGAAAGUGAGUCCAUUGGUUGUGGGAAUAUUUUAAUGUUGGGGCAAGUGAAGUUGAGUGGUUAUCCUCUCUGGUUCAAAAGCCAAAUGGCUGAGGGGUAAUAAAUAUUCCAUAACCUAGAGGAGUGAGUCCUGAACCUCCUGAAGACAGCAAUAAGAAGACAGCAUGACCUGGAUG